CCAGAAUGGCUGGAGAUCUUUAUGCGAUUUUUACACUCUGUGUCAAAAUCUAAAUUACUCUGCGACCAAGCCACCCCAAAUCUGUGUUUGUCUGUCAGCUGUAAUGGAUCCACUUGUGUGUGCAGACCAGACCAUGUAUUCUGCAGAGCAGGCUGGAAGCCGUACAUCCAGGAUGUACUGCUGAGGGCUUGAUGGAAGUCAGUGCAAGAGAGACACAAAAAUAUUUCCUGAAUCCAGAGGCGCCAAUUUUCGUGAGUGCACUCAGCGAGACAGGUCCACAUCCUGUGGACCUUUAUCCCGUGUCCAACUUAAAUCCAUGGGCACCGGUGUUCCACGGUUAAAAUGUGGCAUCUGUCGGUGUAAAAAGGAUUUUGGAUUCUCCACCCACACUGAAGCAGAGAGGAUGUGGCUGAAUCUAUACAUCAUGAGGGAUUUUUGCCACCUUAUCUAAUGCACAUGUGAAAGGGAAGUACUGACGAAGGAUGUUAAUCCUGAACACAUACGUGACAGUGCAAGCUAUUGACAUGUCUGGUUCUUGCCCCAAUGACCCAGUGUCAAAAACUCCAUUCCCUGUGCUACCCUGAAUUGGAUACAUGGAGAGCUCUCAAUCUUGCAUCGUGUAAUGGAGUAAUUUUCCAACAAUGUAGUGGUACGAAAAUCGUAUUUUUGGCCAAUACUGUACAUUCCUGGCUAAUGCACCAAUGCCUUCAUGGAAAGGGAAGUAUUAAAUUUGAGAGGCAAGUGCUACUAAGGUCUGAAUACAUUACGUUUACAACAGGUUGCAAAGAUAGGUAUCAAGAGACAGUUUGAAAGAUCUUUCAGAUGAUGUUAGCAAAUUCGUAAUUAAGAUAUGGUA